rnacentral:rRNA from 1 species
UACGAACGCUGGCGGCGUGCUUAACACAUGCAAGUCGAACGGAAAGGCCCUGCUUUUGUGGGGUGCUCGAGUGGCGAACGGGUGAGUAACACGUGAGUAACCUGCCCUUGACUUUGGGAUAACUUCAGGAAACUGGGGCUAAUACCGGAUAGGAGCUCCUGCUGCAUGGUGGGGGUUGGAAAGUUUCGGCGGUUGGGGAUGGACUCGCGACUUAUCAGCUUGUUGGUGGGGUAGUGGCUUACCAAGGCUUUGACGGGUAGCCGGCCUGAGAGGGUGACCGGCCACAUUGGGACUGAGAUACGGCCCAGACUCCUACGGGAGGCAGCAGUGGGGAAUAUUGCACAAUGGGCGGAAGCCUGAUGCAGCAACGCCGCGUGCGGGAUGACGGCCUUCGGGUUGUAAACCGCUUUCGCCUGUGACGAAGCGUGAGUGACGGUAAUGGGUAAAGAAGCACCGGCUAACUACGUG